UUGGAUGAGCUAGAGAUAGGUGAAAGUUACUUUUCUUGUGUAGUUAUGAAAUUAAAGUUAUCUCAGUUCUGUUAUUUAUUUGCCAUGAAAUGAAUUCUGCAAAAAUUAGAAGUGCGAGAGAUGAAUUAAUAUAUUAUUUCUUUUUUUUUUUACUUGUUUUGGUAAUUGAUUUUAAUCAGUUUGAGAUUUUCCGAAGUCAGCUACACUAUUUUGAAAAGUUUGAAUUUCGGCCGAAUGUGAAGUUACAGCGAACCAAACAACGAAAAUAAAUAUUUAUGGCCAAGACUCACUUUACUCCUCUCUAGUUUUGAUGAAAGAAACACAUCCAACUGUAUCAUUAGCAAUUAAGUGAAUUGAUAUUCAGGUUGUUAGAUAUAUCUAAAGUUUUUAUAUCAGAAGCUUUUUUCUUUAAAAUUUGAUUUCAAUUUGGUGAAUCAUUUAGUUAAGUUAGUUCUAGUUUUAUUGAAUUUUAGUUUUAUAAUUGGAAUUAUUCCUAAUCUUAUAUAAUUUAGCUUCUUUUAUUGUAUUUUGAGAGCUAAGAUUUUUUGAGUAAGGCUUUUUUUUUUUUUUUGGUACUUAACCUAACAUAAUAAAAUUACUGUUCUGUCCUCACCUGUGGAUACAUGUCUAAUCCUAUUUUAUUUUUGGAAAAACUUCAAAUACCAUCCCUGUAGUUUCACACUUUCUCACUUUAAUACCCUAUGGUUUAAAAUGUAUCAAUUUAGUGCCAUGUGAAUUCAUUUUUAUCUUUUUAUUAUCGAUUUCACUAAUUUUUUACGUCAAAUCUGUGACAAAGUUAAAACUAAAGGGUACGAAAGUGAAUAUUCAAUAAAUCUAGGUGGGGUAUCUGAAAUUUUUUGUAUAUAAUUUAACGAAAUAUUAACGGAAAAGCUAAUGAAAAGAUAAAAAUAAAACCACAUGACACUAACUUGAUACACUUUAAACCACAGAGUAUUAAAGUGAGAAAGUGCGAAACCACAGAUUGUUAGAUAUAUUCAGGACGUUAUCCAUUCUUGGACUACUUCCGUCCUAGCACGCUUAUUCUUAGCCUCUUGGGCCUAGCCACCGUCUAAAAUGCUCAAAAUGCUUAAGCCAUGUUAAGUGUUUAGCCCUAUUAUAUUUUAUAUAUAUGACUAUAUGAGGUUUUACAAUCCCCCCUUUAAUCUUUGACGUCCUCGUCAGACUCAGACUCACAAGUAUCAGGCGAUGUGAGACUUGUCUCGCUAGUCUUGCCAUUCCAAUCAUAACCGAGCCAAGACUCAUCUCACACUUUCGGCUGGUAAUUGACUCUAAUAUCAAUUGUGAUCCCUCAACUUCUUAGGGGGUCAAUUCAUUCUAGAACUACUCUCGUCCUAAUAAGUUUAACUCUCUAACCUUUUGGGUCUAAUCACCGCCCAAAGUACUUAAACUGGAUUAAGAAUUUAACCCUAUUAUAUUUUAUAUAUAAGACUAUCUGGGGUCUCACAAUAAUCGUAUAAAAUUUGGAACCUAU
rnacentral:lncRNA from 1 species